rnacentral:rRNA from 1 species
ACUCAAAGGAAUUGACGGGGGCCCGCACAAGCGGUGGAGCAUGUGGCUCAAUUCGAUGCAACGCGAAGAACCUUACCUGGCCUUGACAUGCACUGGACCGAUGCUGAAAGGCAUUUUCUCCGCAAGGAGCCAGUGCACAGGUGCUGCAUGGCUGUCGUCAGCUCGUGUCGUGAGAUGUUGCGUUAAGUCGCGCAACGAGCGCAACCCCUGUCCUUAGUUGCCACCAUUCAGUUGGGCACUCUAGGGAGACAAACCCUCUUUGAGGGUGGGAAGGUGGGGAUGACGUCAAGUCAGGAUGGCCCUUACGGCCAGGGCUGCACACGUGCUACAAUGCCCGGCACAGAGGGAAGCAAUACCGCGAGGUUGAGCAAAUCCUCAAAACCGGGCCCAGUUCAGAUUGUAGUCUGCAACUCGACUACAUGAAGCCGGAAUCGCUAGUAAUGGCGUAUCAGCUACGACGCCGUGAAUACGUUCCCGGGCCUUGUACACACCGCCCGU